AUGGAUUAGCACCUCUGUGGGCCGAAGGGUCCCCUUUUAUAACACAGCAAUAAUAACAGGAAAUAGUCGGUGAGAUUUCUGGGGACAGGGGCGGUCAGAUAUGACCUCACUGUAAAGGGUGUGUCUAGGGCUUAGGAAGUGCUGACCCUUGUGAUGGGAAGAAAAGACCAAGCUUAAGGACACAGAAUUCUGCUGAUUUGGGCCUGGAGAAGCUGUGGACAGAGGGCUGAAGAAUCUGAGACCACAGAGGCAGACUCGGUGCCCACCUGGGAAGGCCACGGGGCUGACUGCACCAGUGCCCUGAGAAAAUGAGUCAGAAGAAAUCAAGGACUUCAGAGUUGAGUGAAAAUGAGAAUGAGAAUGCUGAGUGUUCAAAACUAUGGGACGAAAAGUCACCCCCCUCUUACGACUGAAUCCUUUCGUAAUCUUAUAUACUGCAAUAAAGUGUGUUCACUUGCG